rnacentral:tRNA from 1 species
GGGUUGGUGGUCUAGUCCGGUUAUGACGCCGCCUUCACACGGCGGAGAUCGGCGGUUCAACUCCGCCCCGACCCA